GUCCUUCGGUGGUGGUGUCUUCUCUGCUAAAUAUCCAGAUCUAAUUUUCUUAAAUAUACUGUCAUCCACCAUGUGCCAGCAAGAGUUAUCCAUUUUGAUUUUAUUUGAUUCUAUUAAGUUCCGGGGGAAUUUGUGGAGAAAAGCUGAGUUCUUCAAGAUCUGUGGAUGUUUUGACUUGGAAUAGCUUGUCAAGAUCUUCAUCCGUGGAUGUUAUUACUACGUAGCCGUCAUUCACAGGGAGAGAGCUGCAACUUUCGCCAUGAACCUUCAGCCCUUCGUAACGAGACAGUCUGUGUGUACUGGAAGAGUGGGAAAUGUACUCGAGACAAAUGCAUUUUUCGACACAUGGAUAUCACCGUGAGUGACCUGACCUGACCUCUCCCGCUGCUCUCACGAGGUUGCCUACUAAAUUCCACCCACAAUGCUUUUCUCUCGCCCAAAUCCGUCGCCUACCUACUCCCACUCGCUCUAAUUCUCUCUAACUCACUUUUGCUUUCUCUAACUGUCCUGGUGUGUUUUUUGCUUUAAUUCUCUCCAGCCUAAACAUUUUCUCGCUCUAAUCCGUCGCCUACCUACUCCCACUCGCUCUAAUUCUCUCUAAUUCACUUUUGCUUGCUCUAACUGUCCUGGUGUGUUUUUUGCUUUAAUUCUCUCCAGCCUAAACAUUUUCUCGCUCUAAUCCGUCGCCUACCUACUCCCA